UACGAAGGGGGCUAGCGUUGCUCGGAAUUACUGGGCGUAAAGGGCGCGUAGGCGGAUAGUUUAGUUGGGGGUGAAAGCCCGGGGCUCAACCUCGGAACUGCCUUCAAUACUGGCUAUCUUGAGUACGGGAGAGGUGUGUGGAACUCCGAGUGUAGAGGUGAAAUUCGUAGAUAUUCGGAAGAACACCAGUGGCGAAGGCGACACACUGGCCCGUUACUGACGCUGAGGCGCGAAAGCGUGGGGAGCAAACAGGAUUGAGAGUACCC
rnacentral:rRNA from 1 species